AGUUCUCUAUCGCUUAAUUCAAUUUUUGAAGCGGAGAAACCAAUUUCGGGGUGAAUCCUUCGCAAUGUGUUUUCAGAUUUGCGAGGGUAGGGUUACUUUUCAAUCCGAAUCCGUCAGCUAACUUCGUAAGCGUUGAAAGGGAGGAACC
rnacentral:sRNA from 2 species